rnacentral:rRNA from 1 species
UACGUAGGGUGCGAGCGUUAAUCGGAAUUACUGGGCGUAAAGCGUGCGCAGGCGGUUAUGCAAGGCAGAUGUGGAAUCCCCGGGCUCAACCUGGGAACUGCAUUUGUGACUGUAUGACUAGAGUACGGUAGAGGGGGAUGGAAUUCCGCGUGUAGCAGUGAAAUGCGUAGAUAUGCGGAGGAACACCGAUGGCGAAGGCAAUCCCCUGGACCUGUACUGACGCUCAUGCACGAAAGCGUGGGGAGCAAACAGG